rnacentral:rRNA from 1 species
CAAACUGGAGAUGGCGACCGGCGCACGGGUGAGUAACACGUAUCCAACCUGCCGAUAACUCCGGAAUAGCCUUUCGAAAGAAAGAUUAAUACCGGAUAGCAUACGAAUAUCGCAUGAUAUUUUUAUUAAAGAAUUUCGGUUAUCGAUGGGGAUGCGUUCCAUUAGGCAGUUGGUGGGGUAACGGCCCACCAAACCUUCGAUGGAUAGGGGUUCUGAGAGGAAGGUCCCCCACAUUGGAACUGAGACACGGUCCAAACUCCUACGGGAGGCAACAUG